GUCCACGCCGUAAACGAUGUCUACUAGCCGUUGGGGAACUUGAUUCUUUAGUGGCGCAGCUAACGCACUAAGUAGACCGCCUGGGGAGUACGGCCGCAAGGUUAAAACUCAAAUGAAUUGACGGGGGCCCGCACAAGCGGUGGAGCAUGUGGUUUAAUUCGAUGCAACGCGAAGAACCUUACCUGGUCUUGACAUCCACAGAACUUUCCAGAGAUGGAUUGGUGCCUUCGGGAACUGUGAGACAGGUGCUGCAUGGCU
rnacentral:rRNA from 1 species